rnacentral:rRNA from 1 species
UAACGGCUGGAAACGGUCGCUAAUACCGCAUAACGUACGGAUGGGACAUCCUGUCUGUACCAAAGAUUUAUCGCUCGAAGAUGGGCUCGCGUCCGAUUAGGUAGUUGGUGAGGUAACGGCCCACCAAGCCGACGAUCGGUAGCCGGACUGAGAGGUUGAACGGCCACAUUGGGACUGAGACACGGCCCAGACUCCUACGGGAGGCAGCAGUGGGGGAUAUUGCACAAUGGGGGAAACCCUGAUGCAGCGACGCCGCGUGUGGGAAGACGGUCUUCUGGAUUGUAAACCACUUUCCCCAGUNACGAAAAUGACGGUACCUGGGGAGGAAGCUCCGGCUAACUACGUGCCAGCAGCCGCGGUAAUACGUAGGGAGCAAGCGUUGUCCGGAAUUACUGGGUGUAAAGGGAGCGUAGGCGGGGAUGCAAGUUGGGUGUCAAAACUACCGGCUCAACCGAUAGUCGCACUCAAAACUGCAGCUCUUGAGUGAAGUAGAGGCAGGCGGAAUUCCUAGUGUAGCGGUGAAAUGCGUAGAUAUUAGGAGGAACACCAGUGGCGAAGGCGGCCUGCUGGGCUUUUACUGACGCUGAGGCUCGAAAGUGUGGGGAGCAAACAGGAUUAGAUACCCUGGUAGU